rnacentral:rRNA from 1 species
GAUGAACGCUAGCGGCAGGCCUAAUACAUGCAAGUCGAGGGGCAGCAGGAAUAGCAAUAUUUGCUGGCGACCGGCGCACGGGUGCGUAACACGUAUACAAUCUGCCUUCUACAGGGGGAUAGCCUUUCGAAAGAGAGAUUAAUACCCCAUAACACAAGAAAUAGCAUUAUUUUUUGUUGAAAGUUCCGACGGUAGAAGAUGAGUAUGCGGGUGAUUAGCUAGUUGGUGAGGUAACGGCUCACCAAGGCAACGAUCACUAGGGGAUCUGAGAGGACUACCCCCCACACUGGUACUGAGACACGGACCAGACUCCUACGGGAGGCAGCAGUAAGGAAUAUUGGACAAUGGAGGCAACUCUGAUCCAGCCAUGCCGCGUGCAGGAUGAAGGCCCUAUGGGUCGUGAACUGCUUUUGUACGAGAGAAAACCUAUUUACGUGUAGAUAGUUGAUAGUAUCGUAAGAAUAAGGAUCGGCUAACUUCGUGCCAGCCGCCGCAGUAACAC